UACGUAGGGGGCAAGCGUUGUCCGGAAUCAUUGGGCGUAAAGAGCGCGUAGGCGGCCCUGUAAGUCCGCUGUGAAAGUCAAGGGCUCAACCCUUGAAUGCCGGUGGAUACUGCAGGGCUAGAGUCCGGAAGAGGCGAGUGGAAUUCCUGGUGUAGCGGUGAAAUGCGCAGAUAUCAGGAGGAACACCGAUGGCGAAGGCAGCUCGCUGGGACGGUACUGACGCUGAGGAGCGAAAGCGUGGGAGCAAACAGG
rnacentral:rRNA from 1 species